UACGUAGGGUGCGAGCGUUAAUCGGAAUUACUGGGCGUAAAGCGUGCGCAGGCGGUGCUGUAAGACCGAUGUGAAAUCCCCGGGCUUAACCUGGGAAUGGCAUUGGUGACUGCACGGCUAGAGUGUGUCAGAGGGGGGUAGAAUUCCACGUGUAGCAGUGAAAUGCGUAGAGAUGUGGAGGAAUACCGAUGGCGAAGGCAGCCCCCUGGGAUAACACUGACGCUCAUGCACGAAAGCGUGGGGAGCAAACAGG
rnacentral:rRNA from 1 species